rnacentral:rRNA from 3 species
GUGGGCAACCUGCCUGUAAGACUGGGAUAACUUCGGGAAACCGAAGCUAAUACCGGAUAGGAUCUUCUCCUUCAUGGGAGAUGAUUGAAAGAUGGUUUCGGCUAUCACUUACAGAUGGGCCCGCGGUGCAUUAGCUAGUUGGUGAGGUAACGGCUCACCAAGGCAACGAUGCAUAGCCGACCUGAGAGGGUGAUCGGCCACACUGGGACUGAGACACGGCCCAGACUCCUACGGGAGGCAGCAGUAGGGAAUCUUCCGCAAUGGACGAAAGUCUGACGGAGCAACGCCGCGUGAGUGAUGAAGGCUUUCGGGUCGUAAAACUCUGUUGUUAGGGAAGAACAAGUACGAGAGUAACUGCUCGUACCUUGACGGUACCUAACCAGAAAGCCACGGCUAACUACGUGCCAGCAGCCGCGGUAAUACGUAGGUGGCAAGCGUUAUC